rnacentral:lncRNA from 10 species
CUUCCCUCUCUCGCAUGGAGGGAGUGAUAGAAUUUCCAGAGCCAAGAAUUUCCGGGUAUCAUCAGCAUCUUUUGCCUCCAGAUAACGUGACUCCCUGGCUUCACAGGGGAACUGCCUCAGAGCCACCAACACCAAAGCAACGAUUGGGAGAAUGUGUUCGGGCGCUCCCUGAAAUUCCACGGAUGUCGGUCAGCAGGAAGGAAGGAGCACACUCUUCUCAUCGGAAGAAGACGGAAUGAAGCCCAGGCUGCCAGGGCUGUGGUUGGGACCCUGUGUGAGCCCCAGAGGCCACGGGAUGGGACGGAUCCCAGUCCUCCAACUCCCGGCAGGUGUCUGAGACUUUGCCACCGUUUUCCAACGUUGAGGGACUGUGCGGCCCUGUGGAAUGAGGACAGUGUCCAAGUUAACGAGGCUUCGUGGCAGAUGCCCAGCCCCUGUCGGGAGGCUUCAUCUUCGCCCUCGGAUGGUGGGGGUUGCGGGGGGCUUGAUUGGGCCAGAACAGUCUGUACUGUGCUCUGGCUGGGGCUUGGACUGAGAAGCCUGCCUCCCUGGGGAUGCCCUCCAGGCAGGGCUGAAGGCACAGCCCAGAGGGCUCCUCCUGGUCCCUGGGUGCCCCUUUCUGGCCCCAGCUGCCUCCCCUGAUGGCCAUGGGUACUAGGAUGGAAUCCCGGCACCAGGGCAGCCCCGGCCUGCAGUCACCCCUUUCUGGGAUGAAAGCAAGGCAAGGUGCCUGGGCUACAGCUUGGGGGCAGGUGGUGUGGGAACCUCAGGUGGUUGUGAUUUCACCUCUGGGUCCCCAGGUACACACGUGCACACGCAUCCCCCC